ACUCGUUGGAACCGGUUAGGGAGAGGACGGAGGCGGGAGUAAGAGCUACAGCACCGAUUGGAGGAGAGCAAACAGUUUAAAAAACCGCGGGGACUUCGGCGAUUGGCCGUAAUAGAAUACCCGCGCUGCGAUUGGACAGAGCGGCGCGGGGUAGCGUGGUUUAAAACUACAAAGGGAGGGUGUUGGGGGUGGGUGAUGCUGAAGUGAGAAAAACAAGAGGAGGUGACUGAGGAAGGUGCGGGAGGCGGGCAGGGCUUGGCCGUCUGCAAGGAGUGACGGCCGUGGGAUCAGCACGGGGAGUAGGGGGACAGGUGUUUUAGGAAACUGACUGUUUGCCUCCUGCGAGCCGUGAGCAGAGGGGUUUGGGAGCACAGCCCAGGCCUUAGGGGAGGUGCGGACCUGGAGUAGCUGCUGGGGACGGCUCCUUCCCAGCAUGCCCUGCUCCCUGUCCAAGGCAGUAGCUGGCGCAAGGUGGAGUGGAGCAUGUCGGGACUUGUAGGCCUCUAUGCUACCCUUGAACGAAAGUGCUCGGCGGCUGGGUUGAAAGCGCCGCGUGCCUCCUUAGCAUAGUCGGUGACUUCUCCCACCCAGACGUUGCUGGGGGGGCCGCAGAAAACGGUUUUGUCUUUUGUAAACUGAAAAACCCGGAGUCCUAUUCCCUUCGCCCCCGUGAUGUUUCUGAUUCGCUUUUCCUCCCUCGCAGCGUUAAAUGAAAACGCGUUUCCCGCCGACUGGGUGCUGUUGGUUCCCUUCUCCCUCGGCGUUUCUGCCCCCUGGGAUCGGUGGGGAUGGAUUUCAGUGGCAGGCCCUCGCUUGGGGAGGAGAGAUUUGAAGAACUGUGCGAGAGCCUGGCUGACGGUUUGGUGGGAGAGGGGAAUGCAGGAAGGCCUGGCUUACAGGCUUGGUUGGGAGUGAGGCGCUACAAGGCUGUUUGUCAGGCUUGCGCAGUUUGGCUUGGAUAAACUUCAGACAACUGUGGAAACGGCUCAUUGAAAUGUACGCAGCAGACAUCCCCACCUCCAGAGCGAGAGUGGCUGGGGAAACUGUCUCUUCGAGAGCCCGCCCUCCCCAUACAGCGUGUGCGUGGGAGCUGGCAGCAGGGCCAGAGUUCUGCACACAUAGGCUGAACCUUCCAAAACAGCAAGACCAUUGAUGUUCCUGGACCAGAGAACUCCAGGCCAGGAGCUGAGUCACAGGAGAUCUGGUAGCAGCAGAAUCUGGGCCUGUGUCCAGCAGUGAGGCCAGAGCCAGCAACCCAGCUAUACUCUCGCCUUGUUCCUGUCCCACUUCAGUCUGCUGAGGCUCUGCUCCCUUGGAUGGUUCCUGAUUCAGGCUCUGAUCCUUGACUAAUUUCCUGGUUCCUAUUUCUGACUCUAGUCACUAAGCUGGGCUCUAACUUUAACCAGGUCAAACUGCCCACAUACUGGUCUCUGAUAUGGCUUUUCUUCAAAACAUGGUCAUUCAGAUCAUCUUAACUUUCUUCAAACUUCAUCAAAGAAAUCCUGUAUUUUUGUAACUGAAAUUCUGUCAGCUUACCCAUCUCACUUUCAAACUCUGACCCCAUAUAUUAGCUAGGGAUGUGAAUGGGUAACCACUUAAUCAGUUACCUGAUAAGCACCCUUAUCAGGUGAUGCUUACUGAGUACCAAUUACUGCAGCCCCGCAGUAUUAGCUUCACCCUGAGAUGCCAGUGCCAGUCCCCUACCUCUUAGAACCCCCCCCCACCCCACCUCCAGAGCUCUCCAGCACUAGCUCCACCCCCAUCACCUACCCCUGCAUUGCCUCCCAACCACCAGAUGAGCACUGCUGCCCAGGUCAUAGCUGUUCUAAGGCUGCCAUGCCAGGCUCCAUGUGGCCCCGCCUGCCAUGCAGCAAACUGCUCUUCUGCAUCCAGGAGACCCUGCCCGUCCAGUGCUGGUUGGCUGAGAGGCAGGGCAGGAUACACUUCUCCCAACAGCCACUGUGGGGGAGGUGAGGCACUGGGUGGUAUACUCCAGCCCUGGCCUUCAGAGCUGCUACGGACUGCCAGUUGGGAACCACUGUACUAGAGUUACAUAGAGUUACAUAUUAACUCUGACAUAUCCCUUCUAUAUAAUAUGUCUGCAUGCCCAAUUGAAUUUCAGUUGUUAUAUAACUGCAAUAAUUUCAAAUUCCAGUCUAGGUAGGACCUUAACCAUAUUCUGUAAUAUUAAGUUAUAUAAUCAUAUUAAAAUUCCAUGUGUACUACAGACUGGAACAGUGCAACUAGACUGGCAUGAUUUUGCGCAAAA